GACGUAGGUGGCGAGCGUUGUUCGGAAUCACUGGGCAUAAAGCGCGCGUAGGCGGCCCUAUAAGUCAGGUGUGAAAGCCCUCGGCUCAACCGAGGAACUGCGCCUGAUACUGCAGGGCUUGAGGUCCGGAGGGGAGAGUGGAAUUCCCGGUGGAGCGGUGAAAUGCGUAGAGAUCGGGAAGAACGCCGGCGGCGAAAGCGACUCUCUGGUCGGAAUCUGACGCUGAGGCGCGAAAGCUAGGGGAGCAAACGGG
rnacentral:rRNA from 1 species